rnacentral:rRNA from 1 species
GUUAAGCACCGUCGGGCCAGGGUAGUACUUGGAUGGGGGACCGCCUGGGAACUCCUGGUGCCGUAGGCUUU